rnacentral:rRNA from 1 species
UACGGGGGGGGCAAGCGUUGUUCGGAAUUACUGGGCGUAAAGGGCUCGUAGGUGGCCAACUAAGUCGGACGUGAAAUCCCUCGGCUUAACCGGGGAACUGCGUCCGAUACUGGUUGGCUUGAGUUUGGGAGAGGGAUGCGGAAUUCCAGGUGUAGCGGUGAAAUGCGUAGAUAUGACAUAGAACACCAAUUGCGAAGGCAGCUGGCUACACAAAUAUUGACACUGAGGCACGAAAGCGUGGGGAUCAAACAGG